CAAUGAGUGUUUUAUGGCACUCUUUAAAAAUCCAUAUCCACCUUGUGUGCAAUGUUUGUUGGGAGAGAGGCAACUCUUUCCCUUCACAAAUAUCAACCUAUAUCUUUAACAACAUUCGUCUGAAACUUUUUAUUGACACAAUAAAAA
rnacentral:misc_RNA from 1 species